rnacentral:lncRNA from 14 species
CAGGCUUUUUUCCAAACAGCUCAAUUUUUUACAUGAGCCAUAUCAUGAUGUACCUCUUCAGCUGAGCUGCUCCCUUUAUAAGACCGUAAGUUUAAAUAUUCACAUCUCUAAGGAUACUCACUCUUCAUGAACGUAGUGGCACAUUACAUUAAGGACCAAGUCAAAAUAAUCCAGGAGAGACAAGGGUAUCCAAUGAAUAAGAAAUUGUGCUUCAAAGAGAGAGGAAGGAACUAAUGUCUUUUGUCUAAAGGAAGAAAUGAAGACAGUUAUUCGCCCAGAUGACAUCUCUAGCACAUGAGGUUAUUGUAAUAUAAAUUGCUAAAGAUCUAUAGGUUGUGUGUGCUCCAAGAUAAAGAGCUGUGUCUCCCCUUCCUACUCAUCUUGUAGUAGCCAC